rnacentral:rRNA from 1 species
UACGUAGGUCGCAAGCGUUGUCCGGAUUUACUGGGCGUAAAGAGCGCGCAGGCGGCUGGUCAAGUCCGAUGUGAAAUCUCCCGGCUUAACUGGGAAACUGCAUCGGAAACUGAUCGGCUUGAAGGUGGGAGAGGGUAGUGGAAUUCCCGGUGUAGUGGUGAAAUGCGUAGAUAUCUGGAGGAAUACCGGUGGCGAAGGCGGCAUCCUGGACCAUUACUGACGCUGAGGCGCGAAAGCUAGGGGAGCAAACGGG